UGGUCAUUUCAUGUUGAGACACUGGUUCUCAUCUGAUCACCAAAGUUAAGCAACAUUGAGCCUAGUCAGAACUUAGAUGGGUGACUUCUGAGGAAUACCAGAUGCUGUAU